rnacentral:rRNA from 1 species
AGUGAACGCUGGCGGUAGGCCUAACACAUGCAAGUCGAACGGCAGCACAGUAAGAGCUUGCUCUUACGGGUGGCGAGUGGCGGACGGGUGAGGAAUACAUCGGAAUCUACUUUUUCGUGGGGGAUAACGUAGGGAAACUUACGCUAAUACCGCAUACGACCUACGGGUGAAAGCAGUGGAUCUUCGGACCUUGCGCGAUUGAAUGAGCCGAUGUCGGAUUAGCUAGUUGGCGGGGUAAAGGCCCACCAAGGCGACGAUCCGUAGCUGGUCUGAGAGGAUGAUCGGCAACACUGGAACUGAGACACGGUCCAGACUCCUACGGGAGGCAGCAGUGGGGAAUAUUGGACAAAGGGCGCAAGCCUGAUCCAGCCAUACCGCGUGGGUGAAGAAGGCCUUCGGGUUGUAAAGCCCUUUUGUUGGGAAAGAAAAGCAGCAGGUUAAUACCCCGCUGUUCUGACGGUACCCAAAGAAUAAGCACCGGCUAACUUCGUG